CGAGAGCAUCUGGCCACUGCACCGACCGCCAAAAAACGCAGUUUAUACAGCCGGCACCAAGCCACCCGGAAGGAAGCGGCAAAGCACCAAUCACAAGCGAGAUCACUAAUGCCAAGGCCGUCAUUUCCGCAAUCGCUGACCAUGGCGGCUCACGUAUCUGAUUGUGGCAGGCUGGCAUCAACACACCCAAGGUGCUCGCUCGCUCGCUCUCGUCGCAUCUCCAUCGAGGGAGGGGACGAUUAUGCACAUGCAUCUGAAGACCCUCUCCAAGAUGCCUCCGUGACCACCAACAUAAUCUCCUGACACAACUUACCACAGCCCCUGAUAUUUUCUGCUUAAUGGAAGAUUGUGAAAGCAAUGGUGAAGGAGUAACUGUCGAUGCACUUUACUGGGACCAGCUGAUUUGGCACUAAUUGACUCAGGCUGUCGAUUGUGGCUCUCACUUCACAGUAGAGACUUGGAGCAAGUCUAGCCAAUCACCCACCUUUCC